CCCUUAGAUGUCCUGGGCCGCACGCGCGCUACAAUGACUCACUCAGAAAGUUUUUCCUGAUCUGGAAGGAUUCGGGUAAUCUUCAUAGCAUGAGUCGUGUUAGGGAUCGAUCUUUGCAAUUAUAGAUCUUGAACGAGGAAUGCCUAGUAAGUGCAGCUCAUCAGGCUGUACUGAUUACGUCCCUGCCCUUUGUACACACCGCCCGUCGCUCCUACCGAUUGAGUGGUCCGGUGAACCUUCUGGAUUAAGCAGCAAUGCUUGAGAAGUUAGGUAAACCUUAUCACUUAGAGGAAGGAGAAGUCGUAACA
rnacentral:rRNA from 1 species